rnacentral:lncRNA from 1 species
AAUUUCUACGAAAUCACGCGCGUAUAUAACAGUAGAUUUUUUUAAGCUUUCUUUAUCUUGUCCCUAUAGGUGUUAAUUUCUACGAAAUCACGCGCGUAUAUAACAUUAGAUUUUUUUAAGCUUUCUUUAUCUUGUCCCUAUAGGUGUUAAUUUCUACGAAAUCACGCGCGUAUAUAACAUUAGAUUUUUUUAAGCUUUCUUUAUCUUGUCCCUAUAGGUGUUAAUUUCUACGAAAUCACGCGCGUAUAUAACAUUAGAUUUUUUUAAGCUUUCUUUAUCUUGUCCCUAUAGGUGUUAAUUUCUACGAAAUCACGCGCGUAUAUAACAUUAGAUUUUUUUAUCAACUGUC